AGGACAAAUAUUUAUUCUUAUUUGCCGUGUUCCUUUUUUUUUUUUUUCAAUUUUUUGGCAUUUUUUGAUACUAAAAUAAAAUCGAACCCGAUGGAGCGAUGCUUUCCAGCGUGGAUGCACACAGUAAAAGAAGAAAAGCGAGGAAAAGGG
rnacentral:ribozyme from 1 species